GAUGAACGCUGGCGGCGUGCCUAAUACAUGCAAGUCGAGCGAACGGACGAGAAGCUUGCUUCUCUGAUGUUAGCGGCGGACGGGUGAGUAACACGUGGAUAACCUACCUAUAAGACUGGGAUAACUUCGGGAAACCGGAGCUAAUACCGGAUAAUAUUUUGAACCGCAUGGUUCAAAAGUGAAAGACGGUCUUGCUGUCACUUAUAGAUGGAUCCGCGCUGCAUUAGCUAGUUGGUAAGGUAACGGCUUACCAAGGCAACGAUGCAUAGCCGACCUGAGAGGGUGGAUGGCCAGACUGGAACUGAGGCAGGGUCCAGACUCCUGCGGGAGGCAGCAGUAGGGAAUCUUCCGCAAUGGGCGAAAGCCUGACGGAGCAACGCCGCGGGAGGGAUGAAGGUCUUCGGAUCGGAAAACUCUGUUAUUAGGGAAGAACAUAUGUGUAAGUAACUGUGCACAUCUUGACGGUACCUAAUCAGAAAGCCACGGCUAACUACGUG
rnacentral:rRNA from 1 species